ensembl:lncRNA
GCAGGUUCAAGGACAUCUGGCAUGGGUCCCAGAACUUGGGGAAAAAAAAUCCAUGCAGCAGGCCUUCGGAAAGGAUGUUCAAUUCUCCUUACCUGGAGUAAGGAGAUAUGCAAGCAUUUCUGGUAUUGCUGUAAGACUGCACAGAACUCUAAUCAGUUUGGAUAUGUGGAAAGGACUUCUCCACAAUGUUCCAGGAGAGCAUGAGUGGGCACUAUCUUGCUGUGAACAUGCCCCCUUAUCGGCCGACAGGGAGAAGGAGUGGAUCCAGAGUGAUUCUGAGAAAUAGUUACUGUCAGAAAUAGUGCUGGAUGAGCACUGGCUGAAGAAUGUGGAGAAGCUCCUGAGUUUCAGUUAAGUAAACAUGUUUUCAUAAGAAGGUUAUUGUAAGUGGCUAAGCCCUGCUAUACGGGCAUUUGACAUACAGUGCUCAGGCUAAUGACUUUGCUGAGAUGCUUGCUAUAAACUGUCUUACACUUGCCACAAUACUGGGCACAUGGUGUUAUAAACACUAUUCAUGGUAAUGGCUCUUACAAGCAUAUCUAUAACGCUGUAUUCAUGGCCACUUUCAAAUGAGCACUAAAGUUGUAUUAUAUGUGUAUAUAUGUGGGAUCAUAGCUUACACAUCUGUUUCUUUUAUUCUGUAAGGUCAACCACUGAGCUGCAAUCCUUCCACAAUCAUAUACUGAUGUAUGCCAGCAAGCGAUUCAGCUUUAGCUCCCCUGUUUACAAAGCACGCACCCUCUUAGCAGCGUUGGACUACAACCAUCAUGUUCACAGACCGGUGAAGAGGAAGGCUGAUGGCUCAAUAGAGUACUGCAAACUCUACAAUAAAAAGUCAAAGACUUGGAGUCUAUACACAGUGAGGGUGGAGAAGGACUACGGAUACAUCGCAGACCUGCAGAGUGCUAUCCUAGAAGCCCGGCUGACAUCAGACAAGGGUUUGCCAAAGACCAGAGAAAAAAGGCCUAAUGACCCACGGCAAUAUGGGGUUCUUGCAAGCAUCCCGCCUCCCACCACCCAGGACCUGUUGCAAACCCAAUUCCACAGAGGAGUAGGGCAAGGAAUGCAGUAAGAGACCAUAGACGAGAUUGGAGGUCACAUACUAACUAAACUGGAGCUGACUUUCAGUUACUGGUGGCUGUUUGGAACAGUAUUACGCUGCUCACUUUUUUUAUUUUUGAUAUUUGUAAAUAUUAGAUUUAUUAGGUUCUAAAUGUCCUUCACAGUUUUGUAUUAUUUAGACACUUGGUUCUUACAAAAUAUAUAUAUUCUUUUGGGGGAUUUUUUAGUUUUUUAUGAUCAAAUCAUUUAUAAUUUACAUCUUUUCAAUGCAGUUGCACGAUUGUUCUGCUAAAAAGGCAUUUUAUUAUGUAGCGCUUUUAUACUUAUUUUAAAAUUGCGUUUGUGCUGCAUGUAGUCAUCGAAGGCCAGGGUGUUCCUGUGUGUGAGAGAGUUAUUAUCUUAUUGUUUUAUUUUUUAAUAAAAAAGCUUUUUACCGCA